AGAGCGAACGCUGGCGGCAGGCCUAACACAUGCAAGUCGAGCGCCCGUAGCAAUACGGGAGCGGCAGACGGGAUAGUAACACGUGGGAACGCGCCCUUCGGUUCGGAACAACUCAGGGAAACUUGAGCUAAUACCGGAUACGCCCUUACGGGGAAAGAUUUAUUGCCGAAGGAACGGCCCGCGUCCGAUUAGCUAGUUGGUGAGGUAAUGGCUCACCAAGGCGACGAUCGGUAGCUGGUCUGAGAGGAUGACCAGCAUCACUGGGACUGAGACACGGCCCAGACUCCUACGGGAGGCAGCAGUGGGGAAUAUUGGACAAUGGGCGCAAGCCUGAUCCAGCCAUGCCGCGUGGAUGAUGAAGGCCUUAGGGUUGUAAAGUCCUUUUAACGGGGAAGAUAAUGACGGUACCCGUAGAAUAAGCCCCGGCUAACUUCGUGCCAGCAGCCGC
rnacentral:rRNA from 1 species